UCUAAAAAACAAUGGUAUUAGUUUGUAAUAUAAUAUGUAAAAUAAUAUAAUAAUAUAAUAUAAAAGAUUUAAUUUAAUUUAAAAAUAACAGUGAUAAAUAAUAGCUAUGACAGAUAAUAGCAAUGAUAGAUAAAUAAGUGAUAAUCAAAAAAUGCUUAGUAGAGAAAAUUGUAUAAUAUUUUUAACUUCUUUUUUAACAAAAAGAUUGAAAAAAAAAUUCCAAAACAACAGUUUUUAAGUUAAUUUUUUUCAUUUUCUAGAAUCGUACCUACAUUAACUUGAAUGCGAUACAAUUAUAUUUUAAGAUGAAACACACUUUUCAAGGAAUUAUACAUUAAAAACUAAAUGCUGCACAUCAGUUCAAGUGGCACAGCAGUUAGUUCAUCCCAGGAAAUGUAGCAACCGGAUCGGCAUUGAUGUGCAGAUUUCGUUGCGCAAUUCAUUACGUAAAUUACGACAAUGUAUAUUGCACGUAUUCAGAGGGGGACAUGUACAUGUUACUUGUACUUCAACUCUUAAGUAGUACCAUUAAUUAUAUUUGAGUAAUGCUAAAGUUGGAGAAUCUUGUUUCAUUAUUUCAUCUUUCACAAGAGGGUUUCAACCGAAGGAACGAAUUUGAGUCAGUGAACUGAUUGGCCGAACGAGGCAACCGGAAAUGAGCGUAAUAUUUACGCGUGACUAACCUUGGUGGUAGAGGUAGUGUUCGCUCCUUCAGGAAUCUUGUUCCAAUUCACAACACCUUGCUCGGGAAUACGUGACAAAAUGCCAGCCAUUUGCUCCCUCACUUUCUUCAUGUGAGCUGAAAUUGCACCUAAAAGAUAUUAUUACAUUGAUAAGAAUAUAAAUAAUUAAUUGAAAUUUUCAUUGUAUAAUUAUGAUGAUAUUAAUGAAAGAUUGGAUAUAAAAAAAGCUGUAAACGAAUUAUACUUAUAACGAAUUAUAUCGUUAAUAUCGUAGAUUAAUAGAUCUUUUCUGAGAACA